rnacentral:lncRNA from 1 species
CUCAGGCUCCUUGAUGAAAAUUGAAUCCCCUUGGAAAAAUGAAGAGAAUCUCCGCAAUAAAGGCACACCAGACCACUGUGGUUGUUUGGAAGUCCUCUGAGGCAAUUGUGCAAAACUAAUUCAAGGAAAACAAGUAGAUCUAUGUUUCUGGAAUUCACUCUACACUUAUAGUAACUUAACCUGCAGAAGAAAGAAAAUUAAUUAAAUUCUCUCUGAAACUUUAGUCCCUCAUGAAAUAAAAUCAAC